CAGUGGAACGAGACAGCUUCGGCUGUCGAGUCGCGAACGGCUGAGUAACACGUAGGAAUCUACCCCAUGGUGUGGAAUACCCUCGAGAAAUCGAGGCUAAUACCGCAUAACAUCUCCGGAUAAAAGGGCAUAACUGCCCGCCGAGGGAGGAGCCUGCGGCCCAUCAGUUUGUUGGUAGGGUAAUGGCCUACCAAGACAUCGACGGGUAGGGGGCGUGAGAGCGUGUACCCCCAGAAUGGCACUGAGAUACGGGCCAUACACCUACGGGUGGCAGCAACCGGGAAUCGUGCGCAAUGGACGAAAGUCUGACGCCGCGACGCCGCGUGAGGGAUGAAGGCCUGUGGGUCGUAAACCUCUUUUGACGCAACGGAGACGUUGCGUAGAAUAAGCACCGGCUAACUACGUGCCAGCAGCAGCGGUGAUACGUAGGGUGCAAGCGUUAUCCGGAUUUAUUGGGCGUAAAGCGUUUCGUAGGCUGUUUUUUAAGUCGUGCUUUAAAUACCAGAGCUUAACUCUGGAAGGGGGCACGAUACUAACUAACUAGGAUGAUUUCGGGGCUACUGGAACUGUCGGUGUAGGGGUGAAAUCCGUUGAUAUCGACAGGAACACCGAGGG
rnacentral:rRNA from 1 species